rnacentral:rRNA from 1 species
ACUACGGAGAGUUUGAUCCUAGCUCAGGACGAACGCUGGCGGCAGGCUUAACACAUGCAAGUCGCACGAGAACGCUUUGGCUUUGCCAGGACAAGUACAGUGGCGGACGGGUGCGUAACGCGUAGAUAACCUGCCCUCAGGCGCGGGACAAUCACGGGAAACCGUGGCUAAUACCGCACGACGUC